CAAGUCUUCUACUGGUAAGGUAAGCACACCGCCAAGACCCUGCAUUGUAAGGUGUCGUGCUAAGCGAUGACAGGUUAAACCAUAGGCCGAGUAUUGAGCUGCGAAAUCUACACUUAAGCGUGCUGACCUUGUUGGGUGAAGGGGAAGGCAAUACGACCAAUUGAUGAAAUGCCAUAAACGGCAGUGCUAGUAAUUGGUUGGCGCUUCGCAGUCAUAUACCU
rfam:Paraglaciecola psychrophila 170 chromosome, complete genome.